rnacentral:rRNA from 1 species
CGGGGUGGAUUAGUGGCGAACGGGUGAGUAACACGUGGGCAAUCUGCCCUUCACUCUGGGACAAGCCCUGGAAACGGGGUCUAAUACCGGAUAUCACUCCUGCAGGCAUCUGCGGGGGUCGAAAGCUCCGGCGGUGAAGGAUGAGCCCGCGGCCUAUCAGCUUGUUGGUGAGGUAAUGGCUCACCAAGGCGACGACGGGUAGCCGGCCUGAGAGGGCGACCGGCCACACUGGGACUGAGACACGGCCCAGACUCCUACGGGAGGCAGCAGUGGGGAAUAUUGCACAAUGGGCGAAAGCCUGAUGCAGCGACGCCGCGUGAGGGAUGACGGCCUUCGGGUUGUAAACCUCUUUCAGCAGGGAAGAAGCGAAAGUGACGGUACCUGCAGAAGAAGCGCCGGCUAACUACGUGCCAGCAGCCGCGGUAAUACGUAGGGCGCAAGCGUUGUCCGGAAUUAUUGGGCGUAAAGAGCUCGUAGGCGGCUUGUCACGUCGGGUGUGAAAGCCCGGGGCUUAACCCCGGGUCUGCAUUCGAUACGGGCUAGCUAGAGUGUGGUAGGGGAGAUCGGAAUUCCUGGGUGU